GCCGACCAUUCUCCUUGCCUUCCCUCUGUGGAUGAGGAGAUUUGCAAGAAGGAUCUGAGUUCAGCUGAAGUGCUGGUUUUGCUUCCACUGUGACAAACAGGAUUUAACAAUAUGUUUUUUUAGAAGGAAAAAAAAGAGUUGCAAUAAGAUAUUAAGCAUUGAUGCAUAGUUUGCUAAGAUUGUUGCAAAGGUGUUAAUUAGCUUGCUGGCA
rnacentral:lncRNA from 1 species